rnacentral:lncRNA from 1 species
GAGAACCUCAGCCAUGACAAGGAAAGACAGAGAAGAAAGAAGACAACCCACUUUGGUGCUCAUCAAAUUACUCUCCAGCCUGUUCGCCUGGACCUCUGGACCGCAGCCACCAGUGCGGACUUUACUGCAGCAGCUCCAUGUGGCAAUUCAGCACAUAAACACUUCUGCUGAUGUAAGUGCUGGCAUGAAAUUCUCAGGCAGAGUGUCUAGCAGGGACAAGGAUAGCUGGGAAAGCUGA